AGUUCUUUAGCUUAACUGGUAAAGCGCAUUCUUGAUAAGGAUGUUAUUCAAGUUCAAGUCUUGAAAGAACUA
rfam:Marssonina brunnea f. sp. &apos;multigermtubi&apos; mitochondrion, complete genome.